rnacentral:rRNA from 1 species
UGGAUCCAGACUUUGAUUCUGGCUCAGGAUGAACGCUAGCUACAGGCUUAACACAUGCAAGUCGAGGGGCAUCAGGAAGAAAGCUUGCUUUCUUUGCUGGCGACCGGCGCACGGGUGAGUAACACGUAUCCAACCUGCCCUUUACUCGGGGAUAGCCUUUCGAAAGAAAGAUUAAUACCCGAUAGCAUAAUGAUUCCGCAUGGUUUCAUUAUUAAAGGAUUCCGGUAAGGGAUGGGGAUGCGUUCCAUUAGGUUGUUGGUGAGGUAACGGCUCACCAAGCCUUCGAUGGAUAGGGGUUCUGAGAGGAAGGUCCCCCACAUUGGAACUGAGACACGGUCCAAACUCCUACGGGAGGCAGCAGUGAGGAAUAUUGGUCAAUGGGCGUUAGCCUGAACCAGCCAAGUAGCGUGAAGGAUGAAGGCUCUAUGGGUCGUAAACUUCUUUUAUAUAAGAAUAAAGUGCAGUAUGUAUACUGUUUUGUAUGUAUUAUAUGAAUAAGGAUCGGCUAACUCCGUGCCAGCAGCCGCGGUAAUACGGAGGAUCCGAGCGUUAUCCGGAUUUAUUGGGUUUAAAGGGAGCGUAGGUGGACUGGUAAGUCAGUUGUGAAAGUUUGCGGCUCAACCGUAAAAUUGCAGUUGAUACUGUCAGUCUUGAGUACAGUAGAGGUGGGCGGAAUUCGUGGUGUAGCGGUGAAAUGCUUAGAUAUCACGAAGAACUCCGAUUGCGAAGGCAGCUCACUGGACUGCAACUGACACUGAUGCUCGAAAGUGUGGGUAUCGAACAGGAUUAGAUACCCUGGUAGUCCACACAGUAAACGAUGAAUACUCGCUGUUUGCGAUAUACAGUAAGCGGCCAAGCGAAAGCAUUAAGUAUUCCACCUGGGGAGU